CUGUCGGCAUGGGUGGCACAGAGUGUUAGAGACAGAGAGAGAGAGAGAAAAAAAGGGCGAGAGAGCUCUUCCCUUUGCAGCUUUGAAGAUGGACGCGUUAAGCGAACGAGCACAGAGCACUUAAUCAGUGUCCUGCCCCCAGCCUCCAGCCCCUCCCUUUGUUUUCCUUUCUUCGGCCCUCAGAAAGACCGCUGGACAUGUUAAUGGCUGUAUCACAAUCAUAAUUGCAGCCUUCCCAAUCGCGUACAUACAGAGGUCUACCGCACAACAUGGCCCCAGAGCUCCUGUCCUACUGCUGCUGCUGGACCACAGCGAAGCCCUCAGACCUCAGCCUCCUGGGGCAAUUAUUCACCAUUACAUGUAAUUGGGAGCCAUGGUGGGGUCCAUCAAAGGCCCAGCCGUCCCGCUCCUCCACAGGGAGGGACACUGUGCAGAUGUCCGCUUAUAACCCCACUGACUGGCCUGCGAGGAAGCGGUUCACUGGGUUCAUGGCUCUCCUUCGUUCCCUUCCUUCCUUCGCUCUGUCCAGUAUUGUCCUGUCACGGGGUGUCGUUUAGGGCCGGAGACGGACCCAGAUGAGAAAAAGGUUGACCUUGGGAGUUUGCAGCUGAUCUUGAGAAAUCCUUACCAUCUCAAUGCUACUUAUCUGUCUCUGUGUCUUUCGCUUUCAUUCUCUUCCUCUCGUUCACCUUCUCACGUCCUCUGUGUCCCUCUCUCUCUCCUCCCUCCCAGAUGUGGUAUGCAGUGCACUCCUCCCUCAUCACGGCUCUCUAGUGUUCCCUCUCCCAGUCAGAACAACCCAGGCGGGCUCUACUCAUCUUAUCAGAUGGAGCCAGGCAGGCAGGACAGGACGGGGCCAGUGUGGAUCCAGCUGCUCCCAGGAGCAGGGCGCAGUCCCACUUAAUAGGUCUUCCCGGCAUCCCAGGCCUCGCCCCACUGGCAUCCCAGUCACAGCCAGGCAGGCUACUCUGUGGGUGGCACGCCUUGGAAACAGGCGGCAGAGACAGAGGAGCAGGUGAGGGGGGAUCUUCUACACCAGGUGACGCUAGGUAAGCGCGCAACCUUUUUUCAAAGAUGACACUGUAAAUGCAUGGACCGGUACAGUAGGUUUAAGCUGAUCUAGAAUCAGCAGUAAAGCCCGGGUGUACAUACUAUGCUCUAGGGAUCUGAUUGUGGAGGUGGCCUUGCAAUUUCAGGUCAUCAUGACUUCUCUCUAAAUAUUUAUAUAGGAAACCCCUUCAACUGCUAACUAUGGAUAUAAGUAGAAAAGCCUCAAUAGUAAAUUAUAAAGCAGUGAGAUAUGUGCCUCCUACACCAGGGGUGUAGACAGGCCAAACCAGCUGUUAGCUGUGGAGAGCUGUGAACCCAACCAUGGGGUGAUAAGGGUGGAGUGGUCUACAGGGAGGAGUGUGUGUAUGUGUGUGUAUCUUGGCUGUCCGUGGUUAACCCCUGGCAGAUCGAUAGGGCCUCUAUCUCUAUGACUUAUGGUGACAUGGUGCAGGGUGGGUGUGUCAGCACCGCUUAUGCUCACAUUCCAGGGUGCACGAAGCAAAACUGACGCAGGCGCAACCAAAUAUCGCUAGAACCGCA
ensembl:lncRNA